UACGUAGGGUGCAAGCGUUGUCCGGAAUUAUUGGGCGUAAAGAGCUCGUAGGCGGCUUGUCGCGUCGACUGUGAAAUCCCGCGGCUCAACUGCGGGUCUGCAGUCGAUACGGGCAGGCUAGAGUUCGGUAGGGGAGACUGGAAUUCCUGGUGUAGCGGUGGAAUGCGUAGAGAUCCGGAGGAACACCAGCGGCGAAGGCGGCAUCCUGGACCGACACUGACACUGAGGAGCGAAAGCCAGGGGAGCAAACGGG
rnacentral:rRNA from 1 species